GAUGAACGCUGACAGAAUGCUUAACACAUCAGCAAUGGAAUGGUGGCGGACGGGUGAGUAACGCGUAAAGAACUUACCUCACAGUUAGGGACAACAUUUGGAAACGAAUGCUAAUACCUAAUACUGUGAGAGAGCUUUGCGUCCCAUUAGCUAGUGGGAGAGGUAACGGCUCACCAAGGCGAUGAUGGGUAGCGGGCCUGAGAGGGUGAUCGGCCCCAAGGGGACUGGGACACGGCCCUUAGUCCUACGGGAGGCAGUAGUGGGGAAUAUUGGACACUGGACCAAAGUCUGAUCCAGCAAUUCGGUGUGCACGAUUAAGUUUUCGGAAUGUAAAGUGCUUUCAGUUGAGUAGCGGUACCAACAGAAGAAGUGACGGCUAAAUACGUGCCAGCCGCCGCGGUAAUUC
rnacentral:rRNA from 1 species